GGUGCUGCGAGCAAAAGGCUGCGUUUUCAAUUCCGGGUCCACGAGAGCGUCAAGCAGACCUCGUGCAUUGCGCUCGGGCCGUUGCGGUCACCCUGGCCGCGGCAUCUUACUGCCCGCCAGGUGGCUGCAAAGGAUGCGUCCGAGCCCGACGGAGGAUACGACCUCCAGGCGUACGCUGCGACUUGCCGCGUACCAGUUUGUCCGCGAAUGGGCUGGGUUUCGGUACGGUGUCUUCGACGAGCUGGAUAUGCCCAAUCACAACCAUAACCAACCGGUUUACUGCAUAAGCGACACGGUACUCGUGUUCUGCGACAACAGCACAACGAAGCGUAAUGCGUCGGCUCCCAAGGACAAGGCACAGCUCUGCAGUCACCGAGUUACGUGGGAUGUCAUUAGAGAAAGCGAGGAUU
rnacentral:lncRNA from 1 species